AGAGUAACAUCCAAGGGCUAGGGGUGGGGGCGAGUAUUUCUGGGGUAAUGAAAAUGUUCUAGUUGAUUGUGGUGGGAAACGCUCUGAUAUUCGCAAUUUACUGAGAGCUGCUGAAUUGUAGAUGUGAAAAGGGUGAAUUGUGUGCCGUGUGAAUUAGACCUCAGUAAAGCUGUUUUAAAAACUUUUCUCAAUGAUCAUAACCAAAAGUUGUAAUGUGGCCAAACAUGGACUUCUGACUUCUUGGUCCUCCCAGACUUGCUCCCUGCUGGCUUCUCAGAUGGACCAGCUACACCGAGUGCUCCAUCCAAACAACCAGCGUGGUCUCGGCUUGCUUCCCUGUGGCCGCACAUCCGGCACAAGCCGUCAGGAGCCUGCGAGAGAGACCCAUGGAAACAAUCCGUCUGGUUUGUGCAUUUCAUCUCUUAGAAUUCCAGCCAGGUCCAUGGGCAGCAGGCGUGGGAGAUGCUUGAUGGAAACAGCUCAGACACUGAGCACAUCCCCAGCCAGGGAAAGCCUCAAGACUGAGCAUGGCCAUAGAAACUGACAAUGCGAAAUGUACAAGGGAACUGUUUCCAGGCUACCCUGGAAAACUGGAAGUUCAUGUCGGAGUCGGAAAAUGGCAAUGAUAUUUGCCCUAGAAAAGGGAGAACUCAGUAAAAUGAGUUGAGACUUUUCUUUUUACAAAUGAAGUCAUUUUUUAAAAAAAAUCUUACAUUAAAGUCUGUUGUUGGGACCCAUGGCUGUGGAACAGGAUGAAAAUGUCACAUCAAUAUACUAGAUUUGAACUGAAAACUUUGCCUGAGACCCUGUAAGAUGAAGAUAAACGAAUAAGAAAAUGAUGGGAAUGGUCUUCCCUAAAGGAAACAAUUUUAGGUUUAGAUAUUAUUACCACAAGGGGGAAAAAAAAGAAAAAGACUACACUACUCUAAACUCACCACCUCUACAGUGAUUCAUAAGAUAUUUAUAAGGACAGAAAACACCACUACGAAUACGCACUACGUGAACACUGAUCGCAUUUUAAAAAUUUCAUAUAUGCAUGUUCAGGAUACAAGAAGAUAAUAAAGAUUACGGCUUCUCCAGUCUCUGCAGACAUGACCCACUGUCAUUAGAGUGCCGUUACGAUGAUGAGUGUGAAGAGGGAACUCUUAAAAUUGAAUUGGCUAAAUGUAGUCUUAAAAGCUAUAUUCUUAAUUGCUCACUUGCUACUUACCUAAGCUGUAUUUCCAGAAAUUUCUGUAAAUACAGUGACCUAAAGUACUACCAAUGCAGUGAAGAGCGUGCUUGCUUUCUAUUAAAACUCUCCAUCUCUUUGCUUUUCC